rnacentral:rRNA from 1 species
UACGUAGGUGGCAAGCGUUAUCCGGAUUUACUGGGUGUAAAGGGAGCGUAGACGGUAUGGCAAGUCUGAUGUGAAAACCCGGGGCUCAACCCCGGGACUGCAUUGGAAACUGUCGGACUAGAGUGUCGGAGAGGCAAGUGGAAUUCCUAGUGUAGCGGUGAAAUGCGUGGAUAUUAGGAGGAACACCAGUGGCGAAGGCGGCUUGCUGGACGAUGACUGACGUUGAGGCUCGAAAGCGUGGGGAGCAAACAGG